UGGGGAAUAUUGGUCAAUGGGCAAAAGCCUGAACCAGCAAUGCCGCGUGAGUGAUGAAGGCCUUCGGGUUGUAAAGCUCUGUCAGGGGGAACGAAAAAAUCGAGUAACGAUCGAUCUUGACGGUACCUCCAAAGGAAGCACCGGCUAACUCUGUGCCAGCAGCCGCGGUAAUACAGAGGGUGCAAGCGUUGUUCGGAAUUACUGGGCGUAAAGCGCGUGUAGGCGGUUUGACAAGUCAGACGUGAAAUCCCUCGGCUUAACCGAGGAACUGCGUCUGAUACUGCCAGACUAGAGUGUCGGAGGGGAUGGUGGAAUUCCCGGUGUAGAGGUGAAAUUCGUAGAUAUCGGGAGGAACACCCGUGGCGAAGGCGACCAUCUGGAAGACAACUGACGCUGAGACGCGAAAGCGUGGGUAGCAAACAGG
rnacentral:rRNA from 1 species